rnacentral:rRNA from 1 species
GAUGAACGCUGACAGAAUGCUUAACACAUCAGCAAUUGAUUGGUGGCGGACGGGUGAGUAACACGUACAGAACUUGCCUCACAGGUAGGGACAACAUUUGGAAACGAAUGCUAAUACCUAAUACUGUGAGAGAGCUUUGCGUCCCAGUAGCUAGUUGGAGAGGUAACGGCUCACCAAGGCGAGGAUGUGUAGCCGGCCUGAGAGGGUGAUCGGCCACAAGGGGACUGGGACACGGGCCGUACUGCGACGUGAGGCAGCGGUGGGGAAGAGUGGACAAUGGACCAAAGUCUGAAGCAGCAAUUCGGUGUGCAAGAUGAAGAUGUCGGAAGGUAAAGUGGUUUCAGUUUGGAAGCGGUACCAACAGAAGAAGUGACGGCUAAAUACGUGCCAGCAGCCGCGGUAAUUC